CCCGUAAGUAACUUUCUAAAAUUACAAACCCCAAACAUGCAAAUGUGGAAUAGAGAGAAGCAGCACUAUUAUGCACUUAUUGCACGUGCAGACCUCCCACUGAAUUAUUCAGGAAACACUGAACUGGGAGCCUCAGUCUUCCGACUCUGAGCAGCGCGGCAAUAGCAGCACAUGCCAUGUUGUAUUUGUUAUGCAUGUAAUAUUGAUUUAGCUCGUUCUUGCUGGUCAUGUUUCAAAUUCAUUUCAUGUUUAGGAGAUAGAGGAAAGGGGAAGCAUCCCUGGAUUGCUAUUUGCAGUAUAUUUUUACGCCUGUUGAACACAAGAUUAUCUGAUAAAUUAAUAAGACCAUGGCUUCUGAGUGCAGGAAGAAUAAACCUUUGAAAAGGAGCACAAGUAAGCAAGCAAUUGAUUACAAGGAAGACGUACACUACAGACCAUCGCUAUGACUGCCUGCAGGCUGGGUGCAGUUCACCUUUACCGUCAGACAGCACGUUUCCUACAGCAGUGGGACUGACUGAAGCGCACCACGAUCCCGAUCCUGCUCACACUAAGGUGCUGAGGGCUUAGCAGCUGGGUGCAGUGACAGCAAAAACAGAUCCCAAUUACUCAAACGAUGCACUUGUGAAUGCAACACUUCGAUGACAAUUUCAGACUGAGACAUGAGAUUUUCUGUGGCAUGUAGUGGGUAUGCUGGGGCAGAGGAUGCUGUGGGGACACUGCUGGAUAAGACAUAAGGGACAUCUCUUCUCUCUGCAUCGAGGCCUCUGCCGCACUGCCUGAACCCCUGCUUGUUUUGGCCAGUCUCAGAUUAUUGGCAUACAGAGCUGGCCAUGGGUCUCCAGGAUCUCGGCUGCAAAGCAGCCGGUAAUGUCACAUCUUCAGGAGGUGCCUGUUGUCACCGCUCUGCAGAGGGCACUGAUAAAAGGCAUGGGAUCACUGCUCUUGCUCUUUCCUGUAAGCUCAAGUGUGUGAAAACCCUUGUGAAAACGAAAUACAAUAAAAGAAGAGGGCUUGUAAAAACAUCACGUAAAUGAUUUCCCUGCUUUUAUCUCUAGGCGGGCGUGUGUCAGUGUAAAAGAGUGGAUUAGGCAGGCUUGCUUCCGUCUGGGCUGGAGACACACGUAUGCAUAAUUGAUUCCUGACAUCUUCUUCUCCCCCAUGCUGUCCCCACGAGGCCACCCCUGUCCAGCUAUGUAUGAAUGAACAGAAGUGUCUUUCAUCCCCCACUUGCUUCCCGGUUCAAAAGGAACUACAAAAAUAGCAGCAACAAAAAUCCAGCAGCCUGCCAAAAGGCCUGCACACGUCCCAUUCUUAAAGGCAUGUGAAAGGUUGGAGAGCUCAGCAAAAUUUUUAUGUACGGGAGCAGGCCCAAGGAAAACUCACACGCCAUAACCAAUUGUGGACAGAGGAUCAUCUAUCAGCAGACAAAUGCAGGAACUCCAGAAUGUCUCUCCUCAAAUGAAAUAAUAUAUCUUUGAAAGCCAAUGCCCGUUUUAGGCCUGAGGCCCAUAUAUCAAGCCUGAGAGGCUUGUGGAUACGCUCCAGGGCCAUUAACCUUCC
rnacentral:lncRNA from 1 species